UCCCUGUUAACCAAGGCAGUCUCGUGUGAAAAAUACAACACACAAUGAGGGUUGCGUUCGUUGCUGGACUUAACCAAACAUCUCACGACACGAACUGACGACAACCAUGCAGCACCUGUAUAGCACCCUCGAAGGCUAUUCUAUCUCUAGAAUAUGCAGCUAUAUGUCAAGCCCCGGUAAGGUUCUUCGUUUGUCGUCGAAUUAAACCACAUGCUCCACCGCUUGUGCGGGUCCCCGUCAAUUCUUUUGAGUUUUAGCCUUGCGGCCGUAGUCCCCAGGCGGGACACUUAACGCAUUUGCUUCGAUCCUGAUAGGGUCGAUACUACCAAGAUCUAGUGUCCAUCGUUUAGGGCGUGGACUAC
rnacentral:misc_RNA from 1 species